UCCAGACUCCUACGGGAGGCAGCAGUGGGGGAUAUUGCACAAUGGGGGAAACCCUGAUGCAGCGACGCCGCGUGGGUGAAGAAGCGCCUCGGCGCGUAAAGCCCUAUCGGCAGGGAAGAAGGAGGACGGUACCUGACUAAGAAGCCCCGGCUAACUACGUGCCAGCAGCCGCGGUAAUACGUAGGGGGCAAGCGUUAUCCGGAUUUACUGGGUGUAAAGGGGGCGCAGACGGCAGCGCAAGCCAGGAGUGAAAGCCCGGGGCCCAACCCCGGGACUGCUCUUGGAACUGCGCGGCUGGAGUGCAGGAGGGGCAGGCGGAAUUCCUGGUGUAGCGGUGAAAUGCGUAGAUAUUAGGAGGAACACCAGUGGCGAAGGCGGCUUACUGGACGGCAACUGACGCUGAGGCUCGAAAGCGUGGGGAGCAAACAGGAUUAGAUACCCGGGUAC
rnacentral:rRNA from 1 species